AUUGCACGCUGGCGGCAGGCCUAACACAUGCAAGUCGAACGAGUGGCGGACGGGUGAGUAAUGUCUGGGAAACUGCCCGAUGGAGGGGGAUAACUACUGGAAACGGUAGCUAAUACCGCAUACCAUCGGAUGUGCCCAGAUGGGAUUAGCUAGUAGGUGGGGUAACGGCUACCCGAGGCGACGAUCCCUAGCUGGUCUGAGAGGAUGACAAGGCAGACUGGAACUGAUACAAGGGCCAGACUCCUCGGGGAGGCAGCUGUGGGGAACAUUGAACUAUGGGCGCAAGCCGGAUGCAGCCAUGCCGCGUGUAUGAAGAAGGCCGUCGGGUUGGAAAGUACUUUCAUCGAGGAGGCGUUACUCUCAGAAGAAGCACCGGCUAACUCCGUGCCAGCAGCCGCGGUAAUAC
rnacentral:rRNA from 1 species